GUGAAUCAUCGAAUCUUUGAACGCACAUUGCACCCUUUGGUAUUCCGUAGAGUAUGCCUGUUUGAGGGUAAUUAAACACAAUCUUUACCCAAUUUUUUUUUGUCAAACUAAAUGAGCUCUCCGCGGUUAUAGCGGUAGCUCGAAAUAAAUGGUCAAUUCUCAUUUUAGUCGAGACUCGUAAUAAUAUUAUUUCGCGACAUCUUCAUUAUGUGACUAUCAAGUUUUGAUGCAUACAAAUUUGCUUUGUAUGCUAUCAAUACAAAUAUUUUGAACAUUACCUCAAAUCAGGUUUGAGUAC
rnacentral:misc_RNA from 1 species